AGAAAGCGAGCAACACUGAGUAAAAGGAAAAGGUCUACCCAGGUAAUAGAGGUUGGCAGGAAUUCCUCCAGGGUGGAAGGCGACCGUCGAGCUGUGCAGAUGCUUCAUGCCAAACUUCCCCACUACAUUUAUUUGUUUUGCUUCGGCCAUCUUAAGAAGACAAAUGGAUUAUUUGUGUUUAGUUUUUUUGUCAACAAACCUGUUGUGUCUUAGAGGACUGACAGCAGCGAAGGAAAGGACCCCUUGUUUGUUCUGGAGUCGAAGAUGUCGGUCUAAGCUUUUUCAGCCGGGACUGUGUCGCUGAGCUCCUUCUUGACUUUGACUUUAUACCACGGUGUUUUUGUCCUCAAAGGCUCCUCCCUACCUCUCAAGCAGAUCAGUCUCCUUUCUUUCCACCUCCUCCUCUCCCUGUCUGUGCCUUUAGGCGCUAUUGUCUGUUCCAGCUCCAGCAUGGCCUG